GAUCCUGGCUCAGGACGAACGCUGGCGGCGUGCUUAACACAUGCAAGUCGAACGAUGAACCGGCUUCGGCCGGGGAUUAGUGGCGAACGGGUGAGUAACACGUGGGCAAUCUGCCCUGCACUCUGGGACAAGCCCUGGAAACGGGGUCUAAUACCGGAUACUGACCCGCUUGGGCAUCCAAGCGGUUCGAAAGCUCCGGCGGUGCAGGAUGAGCCCGCGGCCUAUCAGCUUGUUGGUGAGGUAAUGGCUCACCAAGGCGACGACGGGUAGCCGGCCUGAGAGGGCGACCGGCCACACUGGGACUGAGACACGGCCCAGACUCCUACGGGAGGCAGCAGUGGGGAAUAUUG
rnacentral:rRNA from 1 species